rnacentral:misc_RNA from 1 species
GAUGAAGAACGUAGCGAAAUGCGAUACGUAAUGUGAAUUGCAAAUUCAGUGAAUCAUCGAGUCUUUGAACGCACAUUGCGCCCCCUGGUAUUCCGGGGGGCAUGCCUGUCCGAGCGUCAUUGCUGCCCUCAAGCACGGCUUGUGUGUUGGGCUUCCGUCCCUGGCAACGGGGACGGGCCCAAAAGGCAGUGGCGGCACCAUGUCUGGUCCUCGAGCGUAUGGGGCUUUGUCACCCGCUCCCGUAGGUCCAGCUGGCAGCUAGCCUCGCAACCAAUCUUUUUAACCAGGUUGACCUCGGAUCAGGUAGGGAUACCCGCUGAACUUAAGCAUAUCAAUAAGCGGAGGA